CACGUAGGGGGCGAGCGUUGUCCGGAUUUAUUGGGCGUAAAGAGCUCGUAGGCGGCUCAGUAAGUCAGGUGUGAAAACUCCAGGCUCAACCUGGAGACGCCACCUGAUACUGCUGUGGCUAGAGUCCGGUAGGGGAGCAUGGAAUUCCUGGUGUAGCGGUGAAAUGCGCAGAUAUCAGGAGGAACACCGAUGGCGAAGGCAGGUCUCUGGGCCAUAACUGACGCUGAGAAGCGAAAGCAUGGGGAGCGAACAGG
rnacentral:rRNA from 1 species